CACAAACUCUAUUCACCUCCUCUCUAUCGCUUUCGAUUCUCCAUUCGCCAGCCGGUGGCCUCCACCUCCUUUAUCACCGCCGCUGACCAACCCUUCCUCUUCACCACCUUCCCUUGCCAACCACAGCCUCUCCUCCACUCCUCACACGCGGAUGCUGUUGACUUCUUCAUUUUCAUCCACCUCCUCCCAGGUUAGAAGGGAAGAGAGCAAGGGGUCUCCUCUUCGGGUUAGAAGAGGAGCUUCUUUUGACCAUUCACAACCCUUCAUCGUCAUCCAACAGCCCUCUUCCCUCUCCUCUUCCGGUUAGAAGAGGGGAGGACAGCUUCUGUCACUUCUGGUUAGAAAAGGAGGAGAGUUUGUCCUUCUCCAACAGCCCUCUUCUCUUUGGGUUCUUCAUCCGAUUUCCAUCCACAUUUGCUCAUUCCAUCCGAUGAUCAGGGAGAAGCUUCUUUCAUCCGCGAGUUUGGGUGAUGUGUUUUUGGGUUAUCUUUUUUGUGCUGGGUUGUUUAUUCAUGUUGAUUAUUGAAUUGUGUUUGAGUUGAAUUGUAGUGAAGUAUUAAUUCCCCAUGUUAAGAUUGCACGUACUUAGUUUACUUUGAUUCAUGCAUGUUAAGUGUUCGAUGAAUUUCCCCAAUGACUUGUGUUUCUUUUGUUGCUAUUAGGUUAGUUUAUUCCUUGUCUUGUCUCUUUCAAUUGCUUUAAGUUCUUGAUUUUAUUUGGAUGCAAUUAGAUUACAUUAGUGUAAGUUUCGUUAAUGCUUUAUUUUAUGUUUCUUUUAAUUCUCUUUCAAGUGUUGUUUAGUUAGGUUAGAUUUUAUUAAUUGCAUUGUCUUUCAUUUAUUAGGGUUAGUUUCAUACUUGCAUUGUUUUUCAUUUCUCACUGAUUAUGUGGUUUGUAUAGUUGUCAUUAGUUUGUGCAUAGUUGCCAUAGUGGCGAAGAACAUGCUUGCCAAUGAAGGCUUUGGCUCAUUUUGCAAUGUUUGCUUCUCAUCUCUUUUGGUGGAAGGUGUUGCCAAGAUAGGCAGGAUUGCCAACCAGGCUACAUCAGUUGUGGUCCAGUGUUCCGUUUAUUACUUCUGGCAUCAUAUUCACUUGUGGAAUUAUUUAUCUGGUCUACUUGUUGGUUGGUUAUGACUCCUUUAGUCAGAUAUGCUUCUCACCUAUAGAAAUACACUGCAUAAAAGAUAAUAUAAUGACUUACUCUAAGAUUCUUACAUCUGCUAAAGAUACAUUGCUAUAAUUUAAUAUCUACUAGAUAACGUCUAAACACUAAGGAUAUGUCACUAGUACUUUGAAAUAUUGUAUUUUUGCUCCAACUUUAUCAAUGGCCUGUCAUCUUACUAGUUAAGUUGUUUUCAUAAAAUAUAAAUUUCAUUUUAGCUCUUAAAUCCCUAACAUUUUUACUUAUAUAUCUUGCAGUUUAGAGGAUGUAUACAUCUGUUCUUUUUCAUGGUCUUUGCUCCAUGUUCUAUUCAAUAUGUUAGCUUUGGUAGCCUUGGGCACUGAAUUGGAAAGAAUAAUGGGCUCUAUUUGACUUCUAUAUUUGAUGCUCCUGCUUGCAACUACCAAUUCUAUAUUUCAUCUAAUAAUUGCCUUACUAGUGGCAAACAAUCCCUUUCAUGCUUUUCCAUUCCUAGUGACUAAAAAAGCCAUUGGUUUCUCUAGGAUCCUAUAUGCAACGAUUAUCAUAGAAACUAGUUUGAGUGGCAUUCAACUAGAAUGUUAGCUGAACUAUAUUGCUUGUGUAUAUGGUUCAUUGAUAUACUGAAUAUUCCUAUUUUUCUUCUAUCAGUUUCUUUGAGGGUAGCUAAACUCCUAAAUAACCUGAUAAUUCAUGCUGCUAAUGAUAAUUUUUUUUAAGUUGACUUCAUUGUCAUUUUUUAGUGUUUUUAGACUCUUCAAUGUUCCUACUAAAUGGUAUAUGCCUUUCUUGCUAUAUUAAGUUAUUUUACUUAUUUUCAGCUACAUAUGUAUUAGAAACAAAAUUUGAUAUAGACCCUUCACUGUGGGAAUUGUAUGUUUCAGGUAUUCAUGGAUCUUGUUGAUACUCUUCCAAUUUCUAGCCUCUAAUGUUUCAUUUCUUGGACACUUGUGUGGCAUUCUCUCUAGGUUUGCAUGUUAGCCUCUAAUGUUUCAUUUAUCUUGUCCCAAGUUUGGAUAAAGGAGGAGGGUUGCGUUAGGUUACUAACCAGCGUUAAAAAUAUGACAAAUAUUCAAUAAAUUGAUCUAUUAAACUAUUAUUCUAAUGCUAGGUUGUUCCCCGGAAGGAACACAUUGCUAGGUUCGACGAUAACGUCUUGGCAAGGACCGCUACAUACCAGAACUCGAGUGUAGUGUUAAAUAUGCAAGAGUUCACGUUACAUGGUCCGACUGUAACGUCUCAGCAAAGACUACUACAU